rnacentral:rRNA from 1 species
CUAAACUUAGCAUAUUCAUAAAGCGGAAGGGCC